rnacentral:rRNA from 1 species
AGCGUCAAAGCUUGUUUACNNNNUUUUUANNNUUUUAAUUCCUCAAUUUUUAUUAAAACCCUUUAUUUNUUAUCGAGUAAUUCUAUANNGUCCUAUAGAAGAUAUAAUAUUAAAACUAGUAACAAGAAGCAAACCCUUCUCUUUAAUGUAAGUGUAAGCCAGAAAGGAUAAACCACUGUCAAUUAACAUGACUGAUUUUUAAUAGCAAACUCCCUCAAGAAAAACCUAUUUAAACANAGUGUUAAACUAACACAAGAGCAUUUCAAGAAAGAUUUAAAGAAAAAGAAGGAACUCGGCAAACAUUAACCUCGCCUGUUUACCAAAAACAUNCGCCUCUUGANAUUAAACAUAAGAGGUCCAGCCUGCCCAGUGAUCCANNAUUCAACGGCCGCGGUAUCCUAACCGUGCGAAGGUAGCGUAAUCACUUGUUCUUUAAAUGAGGACUAGUAUGAAUGGCACCACGAGGGUUACACUGUCUCCUUUUUUUUAUCAGUGNNAAACUAAUCUCCCAGUGAAGAAGCUGGGAUUUUUUUAUAAGACGAGAAGACCCUAUGGAGCUUUAAACUAAUUAACACUUGCUGCCCNCNAAAAUNNNNNUUUNNNNNCUAGAAAAUAANCCUUUAGCCCAGCACUUUGAUUANAUAGUUUUCGAUUGGGGUGAUCACGGAGAAAAAGACAACCUCCAUGACGAAAGGANNUAUUUAGCCUGAGCAAAANAGCUACAACUUUAUGCACUAAUAUUAUUAACGUUNUAUUGACCCAAAAAUUUUGAUCAACGAACCAAGUUACCNCUAGGNAUAACAGCGCAAUCCACUUUAAGAGNCUCCUAUCGACAAGUGGGUUUACGACCUCGAUGUUGGAUCAGGGUAUCCCAGUGGUGCAGCCGCUACUAACGNGUUCGUUUGUUCAACGAUUAAAACCCUACGUGAUCUGAGUUCNAGACCGGAGUAAUCCAGGUCAGUUUCUAUCUAUANAAGGGNCUUUUUCUAGUACGAAAGGACCGAAAAAGCAUGGCCAAUGANCUAAUUAAGCCAUNAUAAAUANNACUUGUGACACCAACUCAACUGUUUAUUAGCCUCAAACUNNUUACUCAAGAAAAGAGUAGUUAACGUAGCAAAAUACGGCAUUGCAA